rnacentral:rRNA from 1 species
UACGUAGGGUGCGAGCGUUAAUCGGAAUUACUGGGCGUAAAGCGUGCGCAGGCGGUUUUGUAAGCCAGAUGUGAAAUCCCCGGGCUCAACCUGGGAAUGGCAUUUGGGACUGCAAGGCUGGAGUGCAGCAGAGGAGACUGGAAUUCCCGGUGUAGCAGUGAAAUGCGUAGAUAUCGGGAGGAAUACCGAUGGCGAAGGCAGGUCUCUGGGCUGACACUGACGCU